UAUGGUGCAUAUGAAGGCAUACGCAAAUCUGGAUGAACUGCACCUGCUGGGGCAGACUGAGGUGCAGCUGCUGGAGGAGGAGGUGGAGGCAUCUGCGGUGGAGGAGGAGGACUCCAAGAAACUCUCUGAGAAGUCUGAGAGUCUGGAACUGCAUCAGAAGAUGAUGGACCGGAAGAAGAUGCUCCAGAACCAUCACCAAACAACUGAGAAUAAGUAGGUGCUGAUGGUUUCCUCCUAGGAGCCAUCUAAAAAGAAUUAAAAUAAAUUUAAUCAAUUACGACAUAAUUAAAAUAUUAUUUUGUCACCUAACUAAUCACCUAAACUAUUAUUUCGUCACCUAACUAAUCACCUAAACUAAUUACCU
rnacentral:lncRNA from 1 species